GAUGAACGCUGGCGGCGUGCCUAAUACAUGCAAGUCGAACGCUUCAUUUCGGUGAAGAGUGGCGAACGGGUGAGUAAUACAUAAGUAACCUGGCAUCUACAGGGGGAUAACUGAUGGAAACGUCGGCUAAGACCGCAUAGGUGUAGAGAUCGCAUGAACUCUAUAUGAAAAGUGCUACGGGACUGGUAGGUGAUGGACUUAUGGCGCAUUAGCUGGUUGGUAGGGUAACGGCCUACCAAGGCGACGAUGCGUAGCCGACCUGAGAGGGUGACCGGCCACACUGGGACUGAGACACGGCCCAGACUCCUACGGGAGGCAGCAGUAGGGAAUUUUCGGCAAUGGGGGAAACCCUGACCGAGCAACGCCGCGUGAAGGAAGAAGUAAUUCGUUAUGUAAACUUCUGUCAUAGAGGAAGAACGGUGGAUAUAGGGAAUGAUAUCCAAGUGACGGUACUCUAUAAGAAAGCCACGGCUAACUACGUGCCAGCCGCCGCGGUAA
rnacentral:rRNA from 1 species